UACGUAGGAGGCGAGCGUUGUCCGGAGUUACUGGGCGUAAAGGGUGCGCAGGCGGCGGUUCGCGUGGCGAGAUGAAAUCUCCUGGCUUACCUGGGAGGAUGGUCGCCAGACGGGAUCGCUUGAGGGUCGGAGAGGGGCGUGGAAUUCCGGGUGGAGCGGUGAAAUGCGUAGAGAUCGGCAGGAACACCCAGGGGGAAACCAGCCGACUGGGCAUCUGCUGACGCUGAGGUGCGAGAGCGUGGGGAGCGAACCGG
rnacentral:rRNA from 1 species